AGCAACUGCUCGUCCCAUUCUUGUUGCUUCAUUUCUUUAUUUAAUGUUCUUCGAGUAGACUAACACAUGACAUGCUCUCUGAAUAUAAUUUUACGGAGGAAAAUGGCUGGCGAGGGAAUACUCCCGCAAGAAACAGAAGAAUCGAGGCGUAGGGAGUGUGCUGAGCAUCGAAAAAAGUUGGGAGAGCGCCAUAGAAAUAGUGACAGUGGAUCUAAGAUUAGGGAGGUUGGUUUCCGUAUAGCAUUUUACGAGGCAGUGCGAGAGGGAGAGCUAAAUAAGGUGAAAGAGUUGCUUGAAAUUGACAGCUCGGUGCUUGGCACAAGAUUCACAGCAUUCGAAGCCAACGCUUUACAGGUCGCAGUGGUUGCUGGACAAAAAGAGAUUUUUCUCGAGUUAAUGAAAAAAGUCGAUGACCACGGUAUCUUGAAACAGAAGAACACGUACGGAGACACAAUACUUACUCUUGCAGUCGCCGAAGGCAGCAUCAAGAUUGUGAAGAAAUUGGUGCAUACAUGCGUUGAACUGGUGGACAUUCCCAAUAAAAAUGGAGACUUACCCGUCACUCUGGCUGCUUUAUCUGGAAAGAAGGAAAUUGUUUCCUUUCUGUUGGAUCUUACUCCAAUGUAUGAGUCGAAUCCAAGCUAUGGGGAUAUUGAAGGAGUGGUCGUGACUAAUUCAACUCAGUCAAGUGUGAAUGAUGAUGAAUUCAAGGCUCUCAAAGUGUCCAUGACCACUCAAGUCUUUGGACGUGAUGAGAGAAACUACAGCUUCAAGCUUGUUAAUGAAGAUAAGGAUGAAGCUUAUAAGCCUGCUUAUCAAAGCGAGUAUCAUUCUUUUAGGCUCUUCAAAGCAUGCAUCAGCUCCCAACUCUAUGAUCUAGCUUAUGAAGUUUUCGAGCUAUCUCCGAUACUCUGCAUCAAAGAAAUGGUCAAGGAGAAUGGUAAAACAAUAUAUCCACUAGCCCGGGUGUUUAUGAAACAACCAAGACGAAAACGGUUCGUGGAUUGGUGUUAUGAAUUCUAGUGCUGUUUUGGUUUCUGUAAAUGGAUUGUCUUCAAAGUUGGUGCGAACAACAAAGAAAAACCUGAGAUAGCUAGAAGGUUGUUGCGUGGGAUAUGCCGGGAGAUAUUGAAAUUAGAAAACCGUUCCCAAAUCAUACAAAGUGUGUUGACCAGACCAAUCUUAAUUGCCGUGGAACAAUAUAAUACGAGUUUCAUUGACACAAUUAGGGAAAUACACCGAGAUGCAUUGUGGGUUAUACUCGAUGAAUUAUUUGCUUCUGACAUGGCUCUUCCCAAAGAUCUCUCCCAAAUCUUCGUCUCUGCAUUGAGAAGUCCUGAAGCUGGCGUUUUAACAACCAUUUGGGCUAAUAGAAAUGGAAACACAAUCCUUCAUCAUGCCGCAUUGUUAUCAUCAACCAAGGAGCUUAGCCACUUUCCUAGUCCAUAUCUACAAAUGCAAAGCGAGAUAUACUGGUUUAAGAAUGUGGAGAAGAUGUUACCCAUGUACAAAGGAGUAGAAAACAAGGAUAACCUAAUUCCAAUGGAUUUAUUCGUACAAGAACACAGAAAGCUCAAAAAAGCCGGAGGGAAAUGGCUGAAGGAGACGGCAUCAUCUUGCUCGGUAGUGGCGACGCUUAUUAUCACUAUAAUGUUUAGUGCUGCAUUCACUGUUCCAGGCGGCUAUGACAACGAUACAGGCAUUCCCAUAAAUUUGGGAUCAAAAUACUUCACUAUCUUCAUAAUUUCAGAUGCAUUAUCUUUGUUCUCGUCCUGCACUUCGGCUAUGUUAUUCCUGGAAUUUAUACGUUGGACUUUCAAGACGAAGAUUUCCUGAUCAAGUUGCCCUUGACCUUGACAUUCGGCAUUUUCACUCUCUUCCUAUCUAUCGUAACAAUGGUGAUAGCUUUUAGCGCUGCCUUCUUCCUGACGCUGAGAGAGACCCUUGAGAGCAUGACCUUGCCGGUGUCCAUGUUAGCUAGCAUUCCAGUCAUCGUUUAUUCUACAUCGUACCUCUGGAUUUUCAUUCAUGAUUUUCGUUUGACCCUGCACCACCUAUUUAAUCGAUAAGUACACGUCAUGGUCGACUGCAAAUGGAAGAAAAACAAAUGGAUGUUCCUUUGUUUUCCUUAUUCAUUUUGUAUUUUUAACCAUGUCUCUCUUGUUUCCUGAGUUUCCCAUGUUAUUCUUAUGGUUUUGGAUGGUAAAAUACAUUUAUUUUCUUCUCCCAUAAGUAUUUUGU